ACACUCCUACGGGAGGCAGCAGUGGGGAAUUUUGGACAAUGGGCGAAAGCCUGAUCCAGCCAUGCCGCGUGCAGGAUGAAGGCCUUCGGGUUGUAAACUGCUUUUGUACGGAACGAAACGGCCUUUUCUAAUAAAGAGGGCUAAUGACGGUGCCGUAAGAAUAAGCACCGGCUAACUACGUGCCAGCAGCCGCGGUAAUACGUAGGGUGCAAGCGUUAAUCGGAAUUACUGGGCGUAAAGCGUGCGCAGGCGGUUAUGUAAGACAGUUGUGAAAUCCCCGGGCUCAACCUGGGAACUGCAUCUGUGACUGCAUAGCUAGAGUACGGUAGAGGGGGAUGGAAUUCCGCGUGUAGCAGUGAAAUGCGUAGAUAUGCGGAGGAACACCGAUGGCGAAGGCAAUCCCCUGGACCUGUACUGACGCUCAUGCACGAAAGCGUGGGGAGCAAACAGGAUUAGAUACCCUGGUAGUCCC
rnacentral:rRNA from 1 species